GAGCGGAUGAAAGGAGCUUGCUCCUGGAUUCAGCGGCGGACGGGUGAGUAAUGCCUAGGAAUCUGCCUGGUAGUGGGGGACAACGUUUCGAAAGGAACGCUAAUACCGCAUACGUCCUACGGGAGAAAGCAGGGGACCUUCGGGCCUUGCGCUAUCAGAUGAGCCUAGGUCGGAUUAGCUAGUUGGUGAGGUAAUGGCUCACCAAGGCGACGAUCCGUAACUGGUCUGAGAGGAUGAUCAGUCACACUGGAACUGAGACACGGUCCAGACUCCUACGGGAGGCAGCAGUGGGGAAUAUUGGACAAUGGACGAAAGCCUGAUCCAGCCAUGCCGCGUGUGUGAAGAAGGUCUUCGGAUUGUAAAGCACUUUAAGUUGGGAGGAAGGGUUGUAGAUUAAUACUCUGCAAUUUUGACGUUACCGACAGAAUAAGCACCGGCUAACUCUGUGCCAGCAGCCGCGGUAAUACAGAGGGUGCAAGCGUUAAUCGGAAUUACUGGGCGUAAAGCGCGCGUAGGUGGUUCGUUAAGUUGGAUGUGAAAUCCCCGGGCUCAACCUGGGAACUGCAUUCAAAACUGUCGAGCUAGAGUAUGGUAGAGGGUGGUGGAAUUUCCUGUGUAGCGGUGAAAUGCGUAGAUAUAGGAAGGAACACCAGUGGCGAAGGCGACCACCUGGACUGAUACUGACACUGAGGUGCGAAAGCGUGGGGAGCAAACAGGAUUAGAUACCCUGGUAGUCCACGCCGUAAACGAUGUCAACUAGCCGUUGGGAGCCUUGAGCUCUUAGUGGCGCAGCUAACGCAUUAAGUUGACCGCCUGGGGAGUACGGCCGCAAGGUUAAAACUCAAAUGAAUUGACGGGGGCCCGCACAAGCGGUGGAGCAAGUGGUUUAAUUCGAAGCAACGCGAAGAACCUUACCAGGCCUUGACAUCCAAUGAACUUUCCAGAGAUGGAUUGGUGCCUUCGGGAACAUUGAGACAGGUGCUGCAUGGCUGUCGUCAGCUCGUGUCGUGAGAUG
rnacentral:rRNA from 1 species